rnacentral:rRNA from 1 species
AGAGUUUGAUCAUGGCUCAGGAUGAACGUUGGUAGUAUGCUUAACACAUGCAAGUCGAACGCUGAAAAGCAAUAAUCUGAAAAAGAGCAAUCUGGAGUAAGAGAGUUGCCGAGUAAGAGUGGCGAACGGGUGAGUAAUGCUUAUCUACUUGCCGAUUAGUGGGGACUAUGGGUAACCAUAGGGAAUACCGCAUAUUCUGGUUUCGACCAGGAAAGGGAGUUGUAAGACUUUCGCUAAUCGAGAGGGAUAAGUCGUAUUAGUUAGUUGGUAGGGUAAUGGCCUACCAAGACGAUGAUGCGUAGCCGGCCUGAGAGGGUGAGCGGCCACAGGGAAACUGAGACACGGUUCCCACUCCGUUAGGAGGCAGCAGUGAGGAAUAUUCCGCAAUGGACGCAAGUCUGACGGAGCGAUACUACGUGGAGGACGAAACUUGGAAACAAGCGUAAACUCCUUUUGUUGUAGAAGAAGGAUUGAGUCAAACUCAAUCUUGACGGUAUACAUCGAAUAAGUCACGACUAACUACGUGCCAGCAGUCGCGGUAAGACGUAGGUGGCGAACGUUAUCCGGAUUUAUUGGGCGUAAAGGAUGCGUAGACGGUAAAAUAAGUUAUUAGUUAACGCCAAGCUCAACUUGGCUGAAGCUAGUAAUACUGCCUUGCUAGAGGAUGGGAGAGGUUAAUGGAAGUCUAUGAGGAGGGGUGAAAUCCGUUGAUCCAUAGGGUACCACCAAAAAAGGCGAAGGCAAUUAACUAUUCCAUUUCUGACGUUGAGGCAUGAAAGCGUGGGGAGCAAACCGGAUUAGAUACCCUAGUAGUCC